UCCGGUUUGGCACCGGCAGUCCUCCCAGAGUCCUCGACUUGACUCGCUAGCAACUGGGAGCGGGGGUUGCGCUCGUUGCGGGACUUAACCCAACAUCUCACGACACGAGCUGACGACAGCCAUGCACCACCUGUGCACUGAUCCCGAAGGAGGACCGUAUUUCUACGGUUUUCCAGUGCAUGUCAAGCCCUGGUAAGGUUCUUCGCGUUGCAUCGAAUUAAACCACAUGCUCCGCUGCUUGUGCGGGGCCCCGUCAAUUCCUUUGAGUUUUAACCUUGCGGCCGUAGUCCCCAGGCGGGCAACUUAAGGCGUUAGCUGCGGCACGGAAGGGGUCGAUACCUCCCACACCUAGUUGCCACCGUUUAGGGCGUGGACUAC
rnacentral:misc_RNA from 1 species